UACGAAGGUGGCAAGCGUUGUUCGGAAUUACUGGGCGUAAAGGGCGCGUAGGCGGCCUUCUAAGUCAGACGUGAAAUCCCCCGGCUUAACCUGGGAACUGCGUCUGAUACUGGGAGGCUUGAGUAUGGGAGAGGGAUGUAGAAUUCCAGGUGUAGCGGUGAAAUGCGUAGAUAUCUGGAGGAAUACCGGUGGCGAAGGCGGCAUCCUGGACCAUAACUGACGCUGAGGCGCGAAAGCUAGGGGAGCAAACGGG
rnacentral:rRNA from 1 species